AGUGAACGCUGGCGGCGUGCCUAAUACAUGCAAGUCGAACGAACACAUAAUAAGCGUUCGCCUCUAACGGUAGCGACUGACGGAUGGGUGAGGAGUACAUAACCAUCUUCUAUUUCUUGGGGGACAUCGUAAGGCCACUGAUGAUACUACCGAAUAUGUUCAACGGCAUAAAGCAGUAGUUAUACGCACUUUUCCCGUCACAUUGAGAUGAUGCCGCAUUAGCUAGUUGGCGAGGUAAAGGCCCACCAAGGCAACGAUCCGUAGCUGAUCUGAGAGGGUGAUCGGCCACACUGGAACUGAGACACGGUCCAGACUCCUACGGGAGGCAGCAGUAGGGAAUAUUCGGCAAUGGGCGAAAGCCUGAUGCAGCCACGCCGCGUGAGUGAAGAAGGUCUUCGGAUUGUAAAACUCUGUUAUUAGGGAAGAAAAGCUGUGUAAGUAAAUACGCCCGUCUUGACGGUACCUAAUGAGAAAGCAACGGCUAACUACGUG
rnacentral:rRNA from 1 species